AUUGAACGCUGGCGGCAUGCUUUACACAUGCAAGUCGAACGGUAACAGGCCUUCGGGUGCUGACGAGUGGCGAACGGGCGAGUAAUGCAUCGGAACGUACCCAGAGGUGGGGAUAACGCAGCGAAAGCUGUGCUAAUACCGCAUGUGAUCUGAGGAUGAAAGCGGGGGACCGAGCAGCAAUGUUUGGCCUCGCGCCUUUGGAGCGGCCGAUGUGGGAGUGGCUGGUUGGUGGGGUAAAUGCCUACCAAGGCGACGAGCGGUUGCUGGUCUGAGAGGACGACCGGCCACACGGGGACUGAGACACGGCCCAGGCUCCUACGGGAGGCAGCAGUGGGGAAUUGUGGACAAUGGGCGCAAGCCUGGUCCAGCAAGGCCGCGUGCGGGGAGAAGGCCUUCGGGUUGUAAACCGCUUUUGGCAGGAACGAAACGGUGUCCGCUAAUACCGGGCGCUAAUGACGGUACCUGCAGAAUAAGCACCGGCUAACUACGUG
rnacentral:rRNA from 1 species